CUCCCUCAUGAACAUACUAACUAGCUUUGACUCUCUCUCUCUCUCUCUCUCUGUGUGUGCGUGCCUUCCACUCAAAAUCUUUUCUAUUAUCUUAAGGUGAUCUGACUUAGGUAUUGGAAGAUUCUCUAUCGAAAAACUUCCAACAAAUAGACUUCCUCUAUCUAUAGUGCUUCAGAGUCGAUCCGGACAUUAGAGAAAAGAUCUGUCACUAUCAACAACUUCAAGAUCUCCGAUUAGCUACUUGGGUUCCUUGAGCACCUCAUCCAGCUCUUUAACUCACCAUCCAACUCAUCGACCCAAGUCAAACUAAUUUUUAGCAGCACCACAGUUCUAUCAUUGGACAUGAAUUUGUUUUGGUAUGAUGCUUCCAACGAGCCACCAUACUCAUCCAACUUUCUCUUUGAGAAGAAG
rnacentral:lncRNA from 1 species